GACGAACGCUGGCGGCGUGCUUAACACAUGCAAGUCGAACGGAAAGGCCCUGCUUUUGUGGGGUGCUCGAGUGGCGAACGGGUGAGUAACACGUGAGUAACCUGCCCUUGACUUUGGGAUAACUUCAGGAAACUGGGGCUAAUACCGGAUAGGAGCUCCUGCUGCAUGGUGGGGGUUGGAAAGUUUCGGCGGUUGGGGAUGGACUCGCGGCUUAUCAGCUUGCUGGUGGGGUAGUGGCUUACCACGGCUUUGACGGGUAGCCGGCCUGAGGGGGUGACCGGCCACAUUGGGACUGAGAUACGGCCCGGACUCCUACGGGAUGCAGCAGUGGGGAAUAUUGCACAAUGGGCGGAAGCCUGAUGCAGCAACGCCGCGUGCGGGAUGACGGCCUUCGGGUUGUAAACCGCUUUCGCCUGUGACGAAGCGUGAGUGACGGUAAUGGGUAAAGAAGCACCGGCUAACUACGUG
rnacentral:rRNA from 1 species